GGGAGUCUGGCCGAGUGGUUAAGGCGCUGUGUUUAGGUGGGACGAAAGUCCAUCCAAACGAUCAAAAGAAGAUCCGUAAAUUCCGCAGUGGGAAACCGCGCAGGUUCGAAUCCUGCGGCUCUCA
rnacentral:tRNA from 1 species